UACGUAGGUGGCGAGCGUUGUCCGGAUUUACUGGGCGUAAAGGGCGUGCAGGCGGUUUGUUAAGUGCAGGGUGAAAGCUCCCGGCUCAACUGGGAGAGGUCCUUGCAUACUGGCGAACUCGAGGGAGGCAGAGGAAAGUGGAAUUCCCGGUGUAGUGGUGAUAUGCGUAGAUAUCUGGAGGAACACCAGUGGCGAAGGCGGCAUCCUGGACCGGCAUUGACGCUGAGGCGCGAAAGCUAGGGUAGCAAACGGG
rnacentral:rRNA from 1 species